CCUACGGGAGGCUGCAGUGAGGAAUAUUGGUCAAUGGGCGCGAGCCUGAACCAGCCAAGUAGCGUGAAGGAUGACUGCCCUACGGGUUGUAAACUUCUUUUAUAAAGGAAUAAAGUGAGGCACGUGUGCCUUUUUGUAUGUACUUUAUGAAUAAGGAUCGGCUAACUCCGUGCCAGCAGCCGCGGUAAUACGGAGGAUCCGAGCGUUAUCCGGAUUUAUUGGGUUUAAAGGGAGCGUAGAUGGGUUGUUAAGUCAGUUGUGAAAGUUUGCGGCUCAACCGUAAAAUUGCAAUUGAUACUGGCAGCCUUGAGUACAGUUGAGGUAGGCGGAAUUCGUGGUGUAGCGGUGAAAUGCUUAGAUAUCACGAAGAACUCCGAUUGCGAAGGCAGCUUACUAAACUGCCACUGACAUUGAUGCUCGAAAGUGUGGGUAUCGAACAGGAUUAGAUACCCCAGUAGUC
rnacentral:rRNA from 1 species